rnacentral:lncRNA from 1 species
UUACUUUUGUUGCAAAUUGCUUUUGGCAUCUUGGUCAUAAAACCUUUGCCUAUACCCAUGUCCUGAAUGGUAUUGCCUAGGUUGGUGUCUAGGGUGUUUUGUAAUUUGGGGUUUUACAUUUAAGUCUUUAUUAAACACUCUCAUGUCUUAAUCUUCUCAUUAUCAUAAAUAAUAAACAUUCUACCUGCAUAAAGUCCAGACUUUGCUCAAAUACACCCUUUAGUCUUCACAGUUCCUGAAGCCCCUUUCAGUCUUACUCCCCAACAAAUCCCCUAUCAAGUAGCUUUAUUUUAUCCAACAUACCAAUAUUUGGUGAUUUCUUCAGGCCAGGCAAUAUCCCAGAGACUGAAUAAUUUGCUGGAGAAACUUGUGAAGCACAGAGGUAGAUUCCCAUGAAAUAAAGGCUUGCUAAUUGAAACUGGUGAAUUAUUAUUUCACCAACAAAAUAAAACUGAUAACUUACUGUGAGAUGGAUGGUAGGAUUAAACUCUGUUUUAAAAAGUAAAUUAGAUGCAGACAAGUUUGGAAGUAAAGAAUGUCAUAGGAAUGAAUGGGUCCUAUUUGAAGACUCGACGGACUCUUUUUCAUUUCUCGUCUUCCUCCCCUACUCUGCAGGAUUCUAUUUAUGUGCUCAGCCCUUCUGUGACAUACUCUUUCCCCUUGGUUUCCAUGAAGGAACACUCUUCAAGUUCUGCUUUGACAAACUGCAUUAAAAAAAAAUUUUUACCUUUUAUUUCCUAACUCCUUAAACACAUGCAUUUCCCCAAGUCUUCUCCUUGCCCAUAAUCUCAUUCAAUAUGAAGAAUAUAGCUAAAACUCUAUCAACUCAAUUUACUACAAUCUUAAGUACCUAAGUUUCCCAGGCAACCCAUCUCUUUUUAUUUUCAUCCUCUUAUCUAUCCAAAUUCAACUUGAAAGCCUUAUAAUGUCUUAUUCUGUUUGGCUCUCCAACAUGAUUUAGUGGAGUUUAGCAUCAGAAUUAGUCAAGUCUGCAAAAAGUUUCUUAAAUAUUUCUCCUUAUCUUAAAAAUCCAAUGCUGCACAUAGUCUUGUUUGGCCUAUAUUAUUUAGUAAUAUUUUAGGGCAUGUCACCCAGCAUCAGUUUCUCUCAAUAACCACCCGAUCCUUUGCGUUUCAUUUUACUUGUGGUUUUAAAACACUUUUCCUAAAGUUUGAGUCAGAUACUGUCAUUUCACUGCCCCUCAACUAAUGCAGAAUAGACUGUAUAAAGAGAUUGGUAAAGGCCAAUCUCUUUGGCCCAGCAUGUAAGACCCUCCAUUGCUCUGCUAAAGUUCAUGGCAUGAUAUUUUAUAUCAUAGUAUUUGUGCACAUGUCUUUCAUAUCCCCAAACUGUACUAGUUUCCUGGAAGACAUGUUCCAUAUUUAAUUCAUCCUUGUUUUUUCCGAGUAACAUAAUGCCUGCUUUGGGUUGUUACCUAAGGUGCUUGUAUAUGUUUGUUGAAUAAACAAUUGUGUUUGAAAGUCUGAGCCAAAAGACCCCCCCACCCAAUCUUCCCUUUCUUCUCCCCUUCUUCAUUUCAGUAAAAGAGUACAUAUCUUAAAGUAGUUCCUUUCUUUUUUUAAAGGGUAAAUUUAGUGAUUGUCUUUAAUUAAAUAUAUUUCUUCUGGGGGGAGGUGAAUGGCAGUUCUUUUGUGAGAUAGAAAGGUCUUUCUAGCCUUCUAAAUUAGAAUUUGGAAUUAAUUUUCAAGUUAGGAAAAAUGUAUAUGUUGGUUAGGUGUAGUUAAAGUAAGGCAAUUAACACAAUAUUUCAGAGGUGGGGAAAGAAAACAUUGAGGACUAUUUUGAGAACCAAACUACAAUUACUGCAAUCUCUAUAGAGAAAUGUUCCCCAAACUUCAAAAAAUGAUUAAUGGUAAGCUUUUUAAUACAACAUAUACAUAACUUGGAUUGCUAAUAUGCAGCUGAAAUAGAUAUAAGGAGAUUUAUUUUAUUACAGUGGAUAUUUGGUUUAUAAACAAAAAUAUUAAAAACCUGCCUUUGGAGAAAAAAGUUGCUUAAAAUGCUAAAUAUUUUAUGAAUUCAAAACCAUUUCUGUCAAAUUUUCCAAUAUGAGUUAUAUUAAGUCCAAUAUCCUUACCUCACUUUCAAUUUUCUAAGGUUAUUAUAUCUAGCUUAAAUAUAAUAUUUUGAAUUUCUAUGACUUAGCCCAUAUUUAGAAAUAGCUCUUUGCCUACAAAAAUAGACUAAAAAGGUAAUUGUACCCUUUAAACUUUAAAACAACUUUAUCCUGGCUUUUGUUUAAAAUUGUGGAAAAAGUCAGAAUUAGUUCUUUUUUGGUACAAAGCUCACAUCUCUUACCCAUUUGCUAGUUUUAAUUUUGUUUUGUUUUGUUUUGUUUUCUUUGAGAAUAUCAGAAAUACUUGGCAUCAGUUUUGUGAAUAACUUUCCAGAUGUUGCACCACUGGUUAUCGGUAUAAAUGUGCUUGCAGUAUUUAAUUGGUGCUGUUAAUUCAACUCAGGAUCCUGUUUAUUUUCCUAAUUGCUGCCAGACAUUGAACGGGUGGUUAAUAUAUUAGAAAUCUCCUGUUUUCCUGAACCUUUGCCUUACCCACUGGCAAUUUUGUUAGGGAGAAAAAUGUGCUUUUCAUUUACUUUUCCUACCUUGAAAGCACUUGCAUAAGCUCUGGCAAUAUCUUAUUCUGAAGACAGUACUUGAAAAAUGUUUUCCACUUGCAUCUUUCUGCAUGACAGUACCACCUCAUUUCAUUUAUUGUAAAUAUGUGACAAACUAUUAUUAUAUGCAUAUUAUAUAAUAGUAUUAUUCUCAUGACAAAAAAGGCACUUUUAAUAAUUUAACAUUGUCAGAUACUGACUAUGAGCUAUGCUCAACAAUAACAAAGAUUUGGAAAAUAAGGGUCCUGUAAGUGGUAGCACACGAAAUAUGUGAAGUGAUCAAUAAAAACACAAUAAGAUAGGUACUGUAGUAGACAUGGCCACAGGACGCUAUAGAGCACAAAAGAGAUGAGGCAGAGUGGCUAUCAGAACCUUCCAUCUUGUAAAAUUUAACGAGAUUUUUGUUUCAUGUUUCACCAUAUAAAUAACUGAGAAAUGAUGUAAGAAGGGAUCAUUUUGAUAUCUUAUUUUGAGCACACUACUUAUUUCUGUUUACUUCAAUGUUUUCUUUUUUUUUCUUUUCUCUUUCUUUUUUUUUCAAGACAGGGUCUUACUCUGUUGUCCAGGCUGGAGUGUGGUGGCUCCAUCAUGAUCACAUCAUCAUUGUGAUCUCAAGCUCCUGGGCUUAAGUGAUACUUAUGUGUCAGCCUCCUAUAGUUUGGAGAUGAAGGUUAAUGGACUGAUGGUGAUGGAAAAGAUAGCUCAGAGAUAUUUCAAGCAGGCUGCAAGAAUCUCCCAAUUUCGUCCAUCACAAAUCCAUCGUUGAUCCUGGAUGCAGGCUUCAGCUGGCAAAGGAAAGGAAAUACAGAGUUCAAAGCAAGUUUUAUUGUUAAGAUUACAUAGCAUCCUUCGGUUCUCCAAUUUGACUCUGGGAAGCUCUGUUCCCAAGCUACCAAGUGUCUGAGACUACACCUACUUGCUCAAUAGCUUAUCAUGACUAAUGACCAUGGAUGAUGUCCCUGAAGACAAGAGUCCACAGAUACACAUUUUGGAUAUGCCACCUAGAGAUGAUGUAAGUGUUGUCAAGUUUCCUUUCCUGGAUUUUAUGUUCUUCAGGAUGAGAAACAGAAGUACAUAAUUUGGCAAAAAGAAAAGUGAUUCUCCUUUUGCCUAAGAGGCAAAUGUUUUAGUGAUGUGCACAAUGAAAACACUACAAAUUCCAACUGGUAUGUGAUGCUGUUCUAAAUGUGGGAGUGACAGAGAUGGAGUUGAGAUGUUGUUGAUCACAGCAGGAAAUGUCAUCAUAAGAAUUUUGUAAAUGAAGAUUUAAUAAGUUCAUGUGGAUAGACCACUUAGAACACUGCCUUCCACAGAGCAGAUCCGAGUUUUGCUGGAUACAAAAUUCUCGGUUGGCAGUUAUGCUGUUUAAGAAGGCUAAAGAUAGGACCACAAUCUCUUCUGGCUGGUAAAGUUUCUGCUGAGUACUUUUCUAUAUUUAUGAAAGAAAGUAAUAUAUUACCAUUAGAUGAAUUCUAAAAUUUGUCUCAAUUUUUAUACUAAAGAGUAUACUCUUUGUUUUAUAGAUGAAGAAGCUGAAAUCUAAAAUUGGUAGUGAAUUGUCCAAGGUCAGAUGCAUAAUAAAUGGCAGAAAUGUACUAAAAUCUAGAUUUUGAUUCCAUAACUAAUGUACCUUUCACAAUAGUUACUCACUUUGUUGCCUCGUAACAGUGGACACUUUAUAGCUCAUCACAAUGAAGAGUAAUUUGAACAUCCUUGGAUUUCCAAUUCUACUUUUUGACUCCAAUAGCAAUAAAAACUGAUAUCAUUUUAUAGUAAAAAACACUAUAGACAAAGUUCAUUGAGCCCUGAUAGCUCCUAUUUGUCAAUUUUAAUGUAGAUUUAUUAUGAAUAUGAUUGCCCUAAUGAAUAUCUGUUUAUUGUUGUCAAAGCCACAUAAUGAAGAACCUGUAAUGAUUUGGACAUUAAGCUGAGUCCAUGUUCAAUGAACAUGUCUAAUUUAUGUUAAUACAAACUGCAUCAGUAGAGUUGGAGCCAUGGAUUUUCGAUAAAGCAUGAACUAAAGCCAGUAUUUAAAUUUUUAAACAUAAUUUGUUUAUGUAAUUGUAUAAUGUGCCUUUUUCUUAUAAACUAUAACUAUUAACUUGUUCAUUUUUUGAAUGUAUACCUAAAAAAGCAUUUGCCACAUGCAAGACAGGAUUUGUAAGAAUAAUAUUAUUAAGUAUUAUUCUAAAGUUAUAUUUUACUACUCUUCCCAGUUUAAGGAUAUAGUGAGUACUAAUUUUUUUCCUGUAAAUUUUGUUUUAGCAUUUUGGGAUAUUUCUACUCACAAAUAUUUACUUCAAUAAUUAUGUCCUUAUGUAUUUUCUGUUAGUUUUCUGUGACUCAACUCUUUAAAUUUCUAAACUUAAGAACAUUUUGAGAAAACCACAAUUUUCAAUUUUAUAAAGAUAAGCACCUGCUUGUUUGUAAGCUUAUGAAAAUCUUAUACAAAACUUUUUGCUUGGCGGAGAUGUGGAGCAAGAUGGCAAGUAGAAUCCUUGACUGAUCAUUGUCCCUGUGGGAAUACCACAUUGAACAACACCCCCACACAGAAAAAAGCACUUUCAUAGGAACCAGAAAUCAGGUGAGUAGUCCGAGUACCUGGUUUUAACUUCAUAUCACUGAUAUAGUCACUUAAAAGAGUAAGAAAGAGAGUCUUGACUUACCAGUACCAAUCCUUUCCCAUCCCCCUGACAGUGGUUGAUUGUUGUGGAGACAGAAUCUUUGUGCUUGGGGAAGGGAGAGCACAAUGAUGGUGGGAUUUUGGCAUUGAAACUCAGAGUUGCCCUGUCAGAACAGUAGUACCAGGCAGAAUUCAGUUGUUUCCCACAGAAGGAGCAUUUAGACCAGUCCUAGCCAAAAGGGAAUCACCCAACUCAGUGGUCAGAAUUGAUUUCUAGGAAGCCUUGCCACAAUGUGCUAAAGUGUGCUGUGAUCCUAAAUAAACUUGCCAGGCAGUCUAUGCCACAAGGUCUGCAAUUCCUGGGAAAGUCCAGGUGCUAAGCUGGGCUCAGAGCCAGUGGUCUUGUGGGGCACAUAACCCAUUGAGACACCAGCUGGGACAGACAAGGGAGUUCUUGCACCACCCAUAACCCAACCCAAGGCAGUGCUGCUUGCAGCUCCAGGAGUUACUCUUGCCUUCUGCUUGAGGAACAGAGAAAGGAGAGUAAAAAGGGCUUUGUCUUACAACUUAGAAAUCAGCUUAAUCACAGUAGGAUAGGACACCAGGCAGAGUCCUGAGGCCCCGAUUCUAGGCCCUAGUUUAUUGGCAAUAUUUUUAUACACACACUGGGUCAGAAGGAAAUCUGCUGCCUUGAAGGGAAUUACCCAUCCCUGGCAGCAUCAUCGCUUACUAACUAAAGAGAUUUUGGGCCCUGAAUAAUCAGCAGCAGUACCCAGGAAGUACUCAUGGUAGUACUUGAGUGAGACUAAGAGACAUGCCAGAUUCAGAUGUGACACAGAACACUUUCAGCUGUAAUGGCUAUGGGGAGAGACGCCUGCUUGAGAAAAGAGGAGCAAGAGUAAAGGGGAAUUUGUCUUGAAGCUUAGGUAUCAGCUUGGCAACAGCGGGGUAGAGCAAAAAGGGAACUCUUGGGGUCUCUGAUUCCAGGACUUAGCUCUUGAGUGGCAUUUCUGGGCCACCUUGGACCAGAAGGGAGCCCACUUCCCUAAAAGGAGAGUACAAGGCCUGGCAACAUUCACCAUAAGCUUAACGAAGAGCCCUAUGGCCUUCAGUGGACAUUGGUGUUAGCCAGGAAUACUCACCAUAGCUCAGGGGCACUGGUGGUCAUGGAGAGAGACUCCUCUGCUUGUGAAAGUGGAGGGAAGAGUGGGAAAGAAUUUGUCUUAUGGCUUGGAUGCCAGCUCAGUUGCAGUAGAGUAGAAUGCCAGGUAGAGUCCUAAGAUUUCUGACUGCAGGCUCUGGCUCCCAGAUGGCAUCUCUGGACCUGCCCAGUGUCAGGAAGAACUUGUCACCCUGAAGGAAAGGAUACAAGCCUGGCUAGCUUUGCCACUUGGUGAUUGUAGCUUCCUCAGGCCUUGAACAAACAUAAGUGGUAGUGAGGCAGUGAUUACUGCAGACCUUAGGCAAGAACCUGUGCUGUGCUGGCUUCAGUUCUGACCCAGCACAGUCCCAGUGGUGGUGGUCACAGGGGUGCUUAUGAUACAACUCCACCAGCUCCAGGAAGCUCACCACAGACAGAGAGAGUCAAUUUUUUUUUUUUUUUUUUUUGUGCGGGGAGAAAGU